UACGGAGGGUGCGAACGUUAAUCGGAAUUACUGGGCGUAAAGCGCACGUAGGCGGUCCGUUAAGUGGGGUGUGAAAGCCCCGGGCUCAACCUGGGAAUUGCAUUCCAAACUGACGGGCUAGAGUGUGGUAGAGGGGGGUAGAAUUCCCUGUGUAGCGGUGAAAUGCGUAGAUAUAGGGAGGAAUACCUGUGGCGAAGGCGGCCCCCUGGACCAACACUGACGCUGAGGUGCGACAGCGUGGGGAGCAAACAGG
rnacentral:rRNA from 1 species